rnacentral:rRNA from 1 species
CCUACGGGGGGCAGCAGUGGGGAAUAUUGCACAAUGGGCGCAAGCCUGAUGCAGCCAUGCCGCGUGUGUGAAGAAGGCCUUCGGGUUGUAAAGCACUUUCAGCGGGGAGGAAGGCGUUAAGGUUAAUAACCUUGUCGAUUGACGUUACCCGCAGAAGAAGCACCGGCUAACUCCGUGCCAGCAGCCGCGGUAAUACGGAGGGUGAAAGCGUUAAUCGGAAUUACUGGGCGUAAAGCGCACGCAGGCGGUCUGUCAAGUCGGAUGUGAAAUCCCCGGGCUCAACCUGGGAACUGCAUUCGAAACUGGCAGGCUAGAGUCUUGUAGAAGGGGGUAGAAUUCCAGGUGUAGCGGUGAAAUGCGUAGAGAUCUGGAGGAAUACCGGUGGCGAAGGCGGCCCCCUGGACAAAGACUGACGCUCAGGUGCGAAAGCGUGGGGAGCAAACAGGAUUAGAUACCCGAGUAGUC